UGGGGAAUAUUGCACAAUGGAGGGAACUCUGAUGCAGCGACGCCGCGUGAACGAAGAAGGCUUUCGAGUCGUAAAGUUCUUUUAUAUGGGAAGAUAAUGACGGUACCCUAAGAAAAAGCCCCGGCUAACUACGUGCCAGCAGCCGCGGUAAUACGUAGGGGGCUAGCGUUGUCCGGAAUCACUGGGCGUAAAGGGUUCGCAGGCGGAAAUGCAAGUCAGGUGUAAAAGGCAGUAGCUUAACUACUGUAAGCAUUUGAAACUGCAUAUCUUGAGAAGAGUAGAGGUAAGUGGAAUUUUGAGUGUGGCGGUGAAAUGCGUAGAUAUUAAAGAGAAAACCGGUGGCGAAGGCGACGUACUGGGCUCAUUCUGACGCUGAGGAACGAAAGCGUGGGUAGCAAACAGG
rnacentral:rRNA from 1 species